GGAAGCUGACCAGUUGGCUAUUGAGAUUACGCGGUCCAGGGGUUGAACUCGCGACAUAAAAGAACAAAUCCAGAUAGCGGUAGGGUGAAGCCCUAAAACAUUCGGCCACUCGGCCUCGCCGCCUCUUACAGAUUUCCAGAUUCUCAAACAUAAACUAACACUGAACGAAAUUUAUACCAAUCGGUAAUAAUAAUUUGAAAAAAGGUUAUAAUGAAACAUAGGAGGAUGUCCAAAGCACUUAAUUUAGUAAAAUCUUAUUCUGAUUGACAGAUAUUGCAAUUGGAGCACCCUUUGAAGACAAUGGUGCUGUUUAUGUUUACCACGGCUCAAAGGAAGGUAUCAACCCCGCUUACAAACAGAAACUCCUAGGUUCCUCGGUGGACUCUGGAUUAAGAUUGUUUGGCUCAGCUGUUGCUGGAGGUCUUGAUAUGGACAGCAAUGGUUACCCAGAUAUCGCAGUUGGUGCAUAUGGGUCAAAUAGAGCAGUUCUGUUUAGGACUCGUUCGAUUGUUAACGUCGAAGGAAGUAUCCAGCUUAGCAGAAAUCAGAUCGUUGUAGAAAGCAAUGACAGCUUGUGUCGUCUAGAAGGACAGUACCAUAAAUGGUAAG